rnacentral:lncRNA from 10 species
GCCAGUCCCGGAGAGCACCCACUCCGGCUGGGUGGUGCCCGAUCCUUGUCGGGGCGACCCGGGUGAUGGAGGCCAGACGUUUCACAUCUGUCAGCAGCUGGAGCCAUGGGGUCCCGAGGACACUGGAUGGCUGCCCUCAGUGGCUUAGAGACAGGUCAGUACCUGCAGUUUCUCCACCUUCCCGUCCCUUCAGACAGACAGACAGACAGACGGCGCUGCUUGGCAGAGGUCUUGGGCAGAGCCGUGUUUAGAUCUCAAUGUCUUUCAAACUGAUAAGUAAAACUGAUGUGAAGUUCAGCUCUUUAAACACAAACUUUUAAUCAAAUGCCCAUGAACAGGAAAGAAAGAAAGAAAAAAAAACCCACACGGUCUGAGGUCUGAGGGAAGCCAAAAAUUUAAAUCCCCCACCCCAGGGCCUUGGACUGUUUCCGGGGACUCCACUGCCCCGAUGGCAACAAGAAGACAUGCAGACAAACAGGGGAGGCCCGAGGACAUCCCAGCAGCUGUGGCCGAAGCAAGGGCCGUUUCGGGAUUGGUCUUUCAGUAAAAUCUUCCUAGUAAAAUAAAACACUUUCCCCCUUGCUCAUACAUGAAGCCAAUUUAUCUCUCACUUCAGAAUCCUCCUCUGUGCUGUGAGAAGCCCAAGUAGCACUAAGAUCUGUAGCUUCAUGAACAAUCUCACAUUAGCUCAGUGUGACAUCCUGCCCGCUCCAACGGGGUGAAGUCCGAGCUGGCGCCACCGCCCAUGGUCACAGCUACGGGUGCAUGGACAGCCAAGGUGAGCAAGCGGCAGAUGAGACCGGGAGGGGACGUGGCCCCCAGGGCUGUUCUGUCCUUGUAGGCCAGGUCAGGGGAUACAGCAACAUCCGUAAAUGCAUUUCUGUGAGGAGGAUGCCUCACAUUGCUGCGAGAAUCUCACUGACCAGCUACUCCCCAGAGUCCGCCACUCCACAGGGCUCCAGCGGGUCACACCACCUCUUACGUUUCUCAGCAAUUCAGGUGGAUGGGAUUUUAUCCUUAUCUUACAGUUCUGUAGGAAACAAGUUCCAGGAUAAUACUGCUGUUUACAAACGAUGUAAGAAACAAAACUGAUGGCUUCAGUAUAAACCUAUCUAUAUUGGACUUGCUUGGCCCCUCCAAACGGGAUUCUGGAGAAGCACGUGGGGCGCGACGCACCAGAGAAGCUUAAGUCGCAGAGAUGGUUUCAGUUGCUAGCACAUCAUCCAGCCACCCGAGGGGUGUUCAGUAAGCUGUUUCUGCUGGGUAAGAAGUGUAUACAAAUUACAAACCCCAAGUAAGUUCUCUACAAGGUGAGCUUGCCCACUUCCUCUGCAACGCCCGGUGCCUGCAACCUUCACAUCUGGAAGUGCAAAUUCAUGCCCCUAAGUUCUGCAAUUCCUCAUGCAAGAGCUCCUCCAAGCUUCCUGAUUCCGCAUCAGCCAACACCAUAACAUGCAUGUUUGCACGGUCAUAGCUUCUCUUCUCUGGCCUCACAGACUCACCACUGGAGGCGGCCACAGGACACGUGGAAUGCAGGUGGGUUUACUGGACACUUCUGUUCCCAGCGGGAAGAGAGACUGGGAGAAGGACAACCCCUCACAAAACUCAGUCUCCUGCGUGGCCAAAGGCAACUUAUUUUGCCACAAGUGUGGUUCUGCAAAAACAAGUAUUACUUCUGACUCUCUCAUCUCUCUGGAAACAGGGGAGCGUGGUCCGCCGGUCUGAGUGGCUGCGAGGUGGCUGUCGUGCACGGCGGGUCUCGGUGUCGGCCUUCAAAGCAUCACAGUGCUGGGAAAUGCGACAGGGUGAGGGGGACCCAGGGCCAAGGCUGAAGAACACAGCUUUCUUGUUUCGACAUUUCUUUUUAUUUGGAAAAUAGUUUUGUAUUUCUUUGUGC